GGGGGUUAUCACGCCUAAUCACUAAAAUUUCAUCUMAAUCCCAUAUUAAUAAUGAGUAAUUCUAUACCAUUAUAGAAAAUUUUAUGUUAAAACUAGUAACAAGAAGAAGAACCUUCUCUUAAAUGUAAGUGUAAAUCAGAAAGGACAGGCCACUGAUAAUUAACACCCAUGAACAUAAAGUAGUAACUAACCAAGAAAAACCUACUCUCACCAGCGUUAAUCUAACACAAGAGCAUUAUAAGAAAGAUUAAAAAAAUAAGAAGGAACUCGGCAAAUCUUAACCUCGCCUGUUUACCAAAAACAUCGCCUCUUGACAAACACUAAAAUAAGAGGUCCAGCCUGCCCAGUGACUCUGUUCAACGGCCGCGGUAUCCUAACCGUGCGAAGGUAGCGUAAUCACUUGUUCUUUAAAUAAGGACUAGUAUGAAUGGCACCACGAAGGUUAUACUGUCUCCUUUAUUUGAUCAGUGAAACUAAUCUUCCCGUGAAGAAGCGGGAAUAAACAUAUAAGACGAGAAGACCCUAUGGAGCUUUAAACAACAUAGCAUAAAUACAAAAAUUUCUGAAGGUAAAAUGUAUAUAAGUUUUUGGUUGGGGUGACCACGGAGCAUAACAUAACCUCCAUGUUGAAAGAAUUCYUAACAAAGAACUACUUUUCUAAGCAUCAACAUUUUGACAUACAUUGACCCAAUUAUUUUGAGCAACGAACCAAGUUACCCUAGGGAUAACAGCGCAAUCCACUUUAAGAGCCCCUAUCGCCAAGUGGGUUUACGACCUCGAUGUUGGAUCAGGGUUUCCAAGUGGUGCAGCCGSUACUAAAG
rnacentral:rRNA from 1 species